CAGAGGGCUGAGAAAUCUGCACGCCGUUAGAUAAAUUAUCACACCUUGGAAUGUUCGAUCCAGUUCCUCGCUCUGUGGUUUAACAUUAAGGGUAGCGGUGUUAAAUGUAAAAAGCUUAUUUAACAAUCUCAAGGAUCACUUUACUUCUCUUCUGAGGA
rnacentral:ncRNA from 1 species